ensembl:lncRNA
GAGAAGUUUUAUUGUUUUUUGUAGGCAUUAAAAAAAGAUACAAAAUGGGGAACAAAAAAAACAACAAAGUAACAAAAUUCACAAUUAAUAAAGACUUGGUAUAAAAAAAGAAAAGAAAAGAGAGUGUUUCAAAAGUCUAAAGGGGAAGAGUCCACCAGUAUGAAAGGUAGUGCAGGCAGACCGUUCAAGAGCAUUGUUUCUUAUUAUUAGUCCUACAACGGACUGGCAACCACUCAAAGAUGUACCCCACGUCCUGCCAAAUGACAGCUUCUUACUGUAAAACUUGCAAAGAAUUUGCAAGUGGGAAUUCCCUCAACUACAGUGCAAUCUACUAUUAAAAGAAAACCAGAAAGUCUCUGUGCAUAAGGGACACGGCUGAAAACAAGUACUGAAUGGCCAUGAUCUUCAGGCCCUCAUAGAGCUCUGCAUUAAAACAAUGCUGUAGUGGAAAUUACAGUAUGGGCUCUCGAAUAUAUCUGAGAACUACCCAUCUGUUUAUAAAUAAACCCAAGUUAAAUCUCUAUGCAAACAAAAAAGAAAAACCUAUGUAACAGACCAAAAAUGCUUGUAAUGUGUAAAUCUGUCAGCCUGUCAACAUUAAUCAGUACCUAUCAUCUUUUACAUGAGAAUUACUAUUUGAAGUGUCGCAUGGUCAUUACAAUGACAUCAAGUAAGAUAUAUCGCAGCACCACCAUUCAGAUAAAUGUACUAACUGAAUGUCUUGUUUACGUAGACUUAACUCAGAGCCCUUUAUACCUGGACCUGAUCCUGGCUGAGGCACAAACCUAUCAUUAGUUGUGUAUUACACUAGUUGGUACAUUAUUGGUCCUUAGUGUGUUUUCAUUUCAUUUCAAUCAACAAACCAGUGAACCAGUGAACAAAACAAACCAGAAAAUGAUUUCCACAGUAAGCCCAGCAGGAAACUUCAAUUCUGCUGACUUCAGGAUUCUUUCAAUACACAGCCAGCUGAGUUUGUGUGGAUUAAUGUGUAAACUGACUCAUUUAGCUUCAUAUUCUGUAUCAUGUCCUUUUUGUUUCUGAACUCCAUUCAAAAUUCAGACAUAUAUUUCAUCACACCCUUGUUGCUUUUGGGGCUUAAAGGAUGAGAACUUUGACUAAAAGACUGUUCGUCGGCCUCAGAUGGAGAGGAAAUCUGGCAUGGCUCCACAGCAUUCUCCAAGUCAGGUAGGAUGUCCGGCACGACAGCCUGUUCAACGAUAAAGACGAUCGGCUCCACGACGAGCAGCAGGGUCCAACCUA